GACGAACGCUGGCGGCAUGCCUAACACAUGCAAGUCGAACGAGACCUUCGGGUCUAGUGGCGCACGGGUGCGUAACGCGUGGGAACCUGCCCUUAGGUUCGGAAUAACUCCCCGAAAGGGGUGCUAAUACCGGAUAAUGUCUUCGGACCAAAGAUUUAUCGCCUUUGGAUGGGCCCGCGUUGGAUUAGCUAGUUGGUAGGGUAAAAGCCUACCAAGGCGACGAUCCAUAGCUGGUCUGAGAGGAUGAUCAGCCACACUGGGACUGAGACACGGCCCAGACUCCUACGGGAGGCAGCAGUGGGGAAUAUUGGAAAAUGGGCGAAAGCCUGAUCCAGCAAUGCCGCGUGAGUGAUGAAGGCGUUAGGGUUGUAAAGCUCUUUUAACCGGGAUGAUAAUGACAGUACCGGGAGAAUAAGCACCGGCUAACUCCGUG
rnacentral:rRNA from 1 species